UUAUGAUUUAAAGAGGAAAUAAUUAUCUUCUUUUACUCGCAUACAACUUCCUGAAGCUUAGAUUGAUAUAAUCAAUAAAAAAUUAUAUAACAUAAAUAAAAAUGUUUAACAAUUGACAUUUAUUUUUUUUUUUAACUAUUCAAUGGAAUUGUCUGUUAUUUACCACAACAGUAUCCUUUUCCUGGCUCCUAUUAACGACGUAACUACGUGAUAUUAAAGUUCCGGCGUUGCAGUUAUGUAUUUUCAAUAAUAUAUAUAUAUAUGAUAUAUUAAAUAUGCGAAUUGCGUGUAUUUACAAGAGCUUAAUGACAUUUUUUUUUAUUUAAAUAUAGACAAAAGAAAACUCGAAUGUGUAAAAUAAUAAUUAAUUAGAUGAUGUAGAAAAAAAUAAUAAUAAUCACAGAAACACAUCAGCUAAAUGUUAUUAUAGAAACUAUAUAUAUAUGUAUAUAUGUAUAUAUUGAACUAAACGAUUCAAGUCCCAUUAGUUGUUGUUUCUGUUUCCGUUUAGAGUAACAUCCAGUGGCUCGUCCAUGGACCUCGUGGCAGGACUGAGAUCAUGCUGCGGUUCACUCGUAAGAUGAUGAUGGAACAUCGGUGGUAUUUGCGGAUGACGUGUGGGCAUUGGUGUUUUUAUAGUAAGAUCCAUUUCAGAUUCUUGGGGUCUGUCUCCUGGUGCUAAAUCAACUUCAAUGUCAGUUGGCGAGGCUGAAUUUCUCGGUGAUCCACAACCGCAUUUCACUCUUUCUGGUGAUUUAUCGCAACUCACUGGGUACCUGAUAAGUUUAAAUUACACAUUAUUGGUAUCCUGGUUUGUUGAAACACCGACGAUCCUGUAGUCUCGGCAGAUUUGAUGGUUCGGAUUAUCAGGAAGCUUGUCCGGCGAUCCCGAGGUUAUUUGAGGCGGCGAAAGACCAGCAGAAGGCGGUGGAGUCAACGAAUCGGAUCUUUCAACUCCUGGAGCUGGUGGAGGUCGGAGAAGAAGUGGUGCGGCACUUCCUAGACCUAGACAACGCAUUCUCCAGGCGUCUUGGAGAAGCUGAAGCCGCGCCUGCUUCCUCCAUUUGGCUCGACGAUUUUGGAACCACACCUGGAUAAAAGGAAAUCCUGAGGGCAACUUCUUCACGUAAAAACACGUCAGGAUAAUGAGUCUUCUGGAAGAGAGACUCGAGCUCUUGGAGCUGCUGAGGGGUAAACGUCGUACGGUUGCGUCUCUGCGUCGAAAAAACAAGAUGAUGAUGAUGAUGACGUUUAAGUAAAGAUGGAAAAGAAACGUACACUGACCUGACGCCGUCGGCCGAACAUGUACUCGAACUCAAAUAACAAAUGAAGAAAAACAUAAAAGAAAAAACUUAAACUUCCGGAGUUUUUAUCAAGAUAAAAUAACAAUUAACUGAAAAUGAUUUAGAGAAAGUUUAUCAACUUUAUCACGAAGGAGCAUGAGUUGAUAAACAUAAGAAAUUUGUUAGCGGUCCAAGUGAUGAUGUGAGACUGAACGAAUCUGCGCCCUCGAGUGAUAGUCAGCAUCCCUCGCGACGUUGAAGGUUCACUCGGGGGUUGCGCAGUAUGUCAUUGGUUGAGUUUCCCACAGAGGCGGUUCUCUUGGUGGAUGAGCCCACCACCCUCUUUGCUACUGGAGCAUCCUCGAGAGAGAAGAAAACUCGAAGCAGGACAAUGAAUACCAAGCACAUGCAAAUCCAAUACUAUAUAGUUAUAUUAUUUGUCUGUAUAUAUGUAAUAUGGUUUUAAAAGUGAGAAAGAGACCGAGAACAUGGAGAUGAGGGUGGCUCGCGUGCUUUUACUUUAUAAGGGUAGCCAGUACCAUUACCACCACCACCGCCACUACCAUCACCACUUAUACCUUCAAAUCAUUGUCUUCCUGGUGCCCCCCCCCCCCUCCCCAUAUUAUUCGUACAUCUUUGCUAAGUUAUUUCCAUUCGAUUGUGGCUCCAAUUCUUCCCCAUUAAACUUUCCUUUUAUCUUCUCCUUCUUCUUUCAAAUCCGACCGAAAAAAGAGAAGAAAAAAAUUUUUUAAAAUCCCACAUGGAAAAUUAUCUCACAUUUUCACCAGCUAAUAAAAUCUCACCCGCGGAUGGAGAGAUGAAUUAAAAUUUGUUAAUAAUUUCUGGUGGACAAAGAAUAAAAAUGACAAUAGAUCUGAAUACAAAUGAAGUUGAGUUUUAUAGACGGGGUAGAAUUUAGUGUCUCACUCGCAUCAUCAUCGACAAAAAACCAAGCAGAGUUAGUACGUAAAAAAUAGGGGGGUGGUGGAAGAGGCGGCAGCGGAGGUGGUUGUAGUGGGACGAGAAAGUUGGGCUGGGGAAGAAGCGCACAACGCAAUCUUUUUAAUUAUGAGAACGUGGCUUUGUAUUUCAUGUUUGUUUUGUUGUCAGCGCGCUACUCUAUUCGGCUUUUUUUAUAUUAUAACGUGGCGCGGGAGGCUGAUGGGUCAGGGGCGGAGGGAAACGACCGGGAGAGUAACGAAGAGAAGGAGAGCGAGUAAGUGAGAUAGAGAAGAAACAGGGGGUAGAAGAGUGAGUUGAAGCCAGGGUGAGAUUGCUUUAGUAAUGAAUUACAUGGCUUGGGGCUAUGUGCCUCUGUCUGAUGCUUCUCUCCCGACCACCGCUACCACCGCUGUUUCCUGGACUCUCUCUCUGACUUUAUUUCUAUAACUCUGUAAAUAACGUACAUAUAUUUUUAACUUUGUUCGUAUGUUCCUUUAUAAGCAUAACUCUGAGAGCUUUCCAUACAUAUAUAAACAUAUAUACCUCAGUUUUAUGCUAUUUCAUUUGUCAGAAAUUUGUGCACCAGUUACAUGAUGUCAUUCCACCAGCUCUUUGCUGUAAAAUUUAAUUUCCUCAAUUCGUUAUUUUUAUUUUAUUUCGUUUACUUGCUACCAGAUCUCCGACCGGACGAUAUUUUAAAAAAUAGUUUUUGAUAUUUAAAUUUUUUUUUCAUGGAUUUAAAAAAAUGCGGGAAAAGUUUUGAAAGUAAGUCAGGUGAAGACAGAUAUAAACACAUCAAAGCCCUGGCAACACUAUUGUUAUAAUGGAAUCAAGAUCGCCAUUGAUUGAGAAAUACAAUGUCGCCGCCCCAAAACGCCCUGGUCUCUCUUUUUCUCUCUCUCUUCUUGGGACAUUAUUAAUUCCCUUGUCAAAACCUCACAACUAUACCCCAUUGCAAUGCGCCACCGCGAGAUACCCGUUCUUUACUUUCACCCCCUCAAUGAUGCUUUUGCUGCACGACUUGCAAUCGUUUAAUUUACUUCUGCCACGCCCAUUUACUUUCUUAUUCCCUCAAGAUGAAAUUAAAAUAUACAACUUCUUAAUCAAAAUAUAAAUAACAACAACAAUAAACAAUAAUUACAAAAAAAGGGAACAAGUAUUUUAGUUUUUUGUCAAAAAAAAAAAAAUAUGAAUUUUGAAUUAUCAAUACAAUUUUAAUUAAUAAACGGAACAAUUAACACGUGUGUACUUUUUAUAAAUUUAAAAAAAAAUUAAUUAUAGUACAGAACCAACUGGUCCCACGCGUAUUUCAAUCUCAUAUUUUUAAAAAUAAAAUAAUGCGGCACAUGGUCACGGACAUGGAUUAAAUCUUGUGAUUGUGAUUGCGCUAAACCUAAACAAUAGCUUAUACCCAUUGACUAUAAAAACCUACCACGUUUUUUUUCAGUCGUCCCGUCUAGUCGAUCCAUCAGCGGGUGGUUACACUCCCACUUUUUCUUCCUCUUUUUCUACAUCACAAUUUUUUUUUUUUUUAUACCAACACGUAUUCUUCCGCCCCAAUUCAUUCAUCCUCUGGAUUAAUUGACUUUUUCCAUACUCGUUUACAUACAUUUAGUAUACAAACAUCCAUAUAUAUAUAUUUAUUUAUUAAACUACGAAUAUUCUUCAGCGGUAAUACCCACUAGUAGACUAAGUAGUAUAAGCAAAUCUCCAGACCUACGGGAUUUGAUUAAAAAUUUUUUAUCAAACUCACUUGUAUUGUCUUUUCAGAUUAAUCCAUCAAAUUUACGAUGAUUGGUACCGUACUCGAGGAUAGAUUAAUAAAAGAGUGAAGGAAGAGUUCCGGUAUCUGGCAUUUUGUUGGACGUAAUUUAAAAUUUUGCGGGCUUAUGGUAUUAUUUGGCACGUGACACACACAUGCACAUGUAUGAUGACUUGAUGACAAAGAUGACACGAGACGUGUUGCAUAUGAGCAAAAGAGAAAUUUAUAUAAAUUUUGUGGGUGUAGCGAGAGAAUUUAUCUCGGUUAGGACGAGGACGCUGCCAGAGACGCAUCGGCGGUGGUAAAGGGUAGUCGGGGGAUGAGAAAACAUUAAUCUAGGCAUGUUUUGUAAUCUCCGACCGCAGUCUAUCUGCUUUUACAUUAUAUAUAUACAUAUUUAAAUGUAUUUGUGCAUGUAUAUAUGUAUAUAAAUGCUACAUAAAUGCAUGUAAAUAUAACAAGAGCAAGUGAAUCAGUGUGUAUAUGCUGGUUUUGUAGUUUAUUAUUGUGUGCGUGUUGGCAUAUAAUGAAAACGCUGUUAUUGCUUGGCUAUAGAGUACUCACAAUGGGCUCGAAAUACAUAAAUUUAGAGAAGAGAGAAAUAUGUCUCUCAGCAUUCGUUCAUUUUUCGUUGUUGCUUUAUUUAUGUGGUAUGGGUACGAAUAUAUAUACUGAAUUUAUAUGUAUAUAUGUAAAAGUGAGAGCGUGAGCGAGAGAGUAAGCAAUGAAAUUACAAAGCGCGAACAUUGAAGUAUACCAAGAUUAAUAUUUCAACUAUCAAGAUGUAUAUGCAAUGAUAUAUUUAUGUAGUAUUUUGUCAGAUGACAGUGAAGUAGCAAUUUCAUUAAUUGAAAUUUAUGUUUAAGUAAUGAAGAUUGGCUGGUUACACCGCCAAGAAGAGAUAAAGAGUAUAAUCAAUGAAAAUGGUCCGGGUGAACAAUUGUCGUGUGACAAAAGGCUCGGGCAUUUUUUUCGGCUCCUCAGUUUCAUUUACCAUGUAAUAAUGCAAAUGAAAGAAAAUUCUGGGGUAGCGCCGAGACUGCUGAGUUACGAGUAUGAGAACGAGAAGAAAAAGGAAAGACUUGGGAAAUAUGCUUGGAGGUCCAGAAAAUGCUGUACAAGGAGACUUGAAGAGCACAAGACACGAUAUUUAUUUUGCCUCGGUUGCCAAAGAUGUAGAAAGGAGAGAGAAGGGGACAAAUUUCUUGGCUGAUUUGUUUGGACAAAAGUGCAGUUUCACACACAAUCCGUCUGGUUGAGACGGAAAUAACUUUCUCUAUUCCUAAAGUGCAUAUACCGGUUUAAGUUGGUACAUUCCGGUCGUGAUAAAAAAUGUACACAAAAGUAUUGUUAUGAUAAUGAAAAUUUUCUUUUCACGAACGUUAAGUUAAUGAGACAAAAAAAAAGUAUAAGAGAAUAGAGGAAAUAAAAAAAUAAAAUUUUUUUCUUGAAUUUUAAAGUUGUCUUCUGAGUGCACCUAUUCUUCUUACAAUACAUUAUUACCGAGUCGACGAGUAAAACGAGUAGAGGACGUUUUAGGUGGUGUCACGAGUUCCUAAACUCGACGGGUGUACAAAAGACAACGAGUAGCAGUCAGUGUUUGGGAAACGUUUUCUAUCAUCGUGUCGCUGGUUGUUUAUCGAAGCAGUACCAUCACCAGCAGAUCUUGUCGUUGUAGCUGUUGGAGGUAUCACCAAGCGAGCUGGAUAUGGGCUUUUAACAGAAGUACUAAGCGGAACUACACGCGCGAACACCUUCCGGGCACAUUUUUUUCUUCUUUAUUUUUCCACUGCCACCAGAGUAUAAUAUAGUAGUAAACCUAUGCAGAUAUAUACUACUGAGCAAGGCUUCUUUUUUACUUCUGCCACAGUGAUUUUGUCAGCCAGGCACGUGGAUGAUCCGUAGCAAAGGAGCCUCGGCAUAGCUUCUCAUUAUCAUUAUUACAUGCUGAAGACAUGUGACUACAUACGUACAUAUCGCAAGAUACGCAUAUAUAAAUGCGUGAAAUGGCAAAUACAAGGGCCGGAAACAAUGAAAUGUAGACAGUAUAUAAUGUAUAAAGAUAUGUAUUCAUUUUUUGUCUCGCAUAGUGGUCUUUUGUCUUUGAACAAAAAAAAUAAUAAUAAUAAUAAUUAUUAUUUUUUUUCUUUAUUCCUCUUAAUUGUAAACUUAUUUUUUUUAUUUUUAUUCCAAGAUUUAAAACAUUAGUCUAAUUACUUUUACUCUGGAAUCAAACAUGCCGAUAGAAAAUGGAGACAUGUUUAUUUAGCGAUAUAUAAGUGACAUCCUGAGCUUUUAUAAAGUCCGAGAAGGCGGUCCCUCAGCGCGGUCGAAUGCACAUACACUAGGGAUAAGUUUAUGUAUAUGUAUAACCCAGAGGUUUACUCACACAUCACUGCAUGUAUACAUAUGAUGGCUAGAGAGCCAGGGAGUAAAGUAAGAGGGAUGAUACUGUAUGCGAUUAAAGUGUAUAAACCCGUGUAAGAGAAAGUAAGCACUGGCUGAGAGAAACUGAAGGGUGUACAUAAUAUACAUAUAUGUGUAUGUGUACUUUGAGCAGUGGUAAUGCGACUAAAUGAAUCCACUAACGGGGUUGGUUUUGCCUAGAUGGUAAUGGUGGAAGGGGUAAUUAAAACCACCCUCGUGCAGAACCACCAAGCGAGAUAGAUAAGCCCACUACUGAGUGCUUCGGUACUCUCUCUUCCUCUCCCUCUUUCUCACUAAAAAACUUUCAACUGUUCGUUUUUCCGUAUCAUUUUAUUUUAUUUACUUCAUUAAUUAAUUAAUUUUCUACAUUCAAUCGCAACCGCUGACUACUCAUUUAUUUUUUUUAAAUUUAUUUUACUAAUUAAUUAAAUAAUAUUUUUAAAAUAAAUAAUAAUUAGCAAGCUGUAAAUAAAAUUGUGUAUGAGAAAUGGAGGAAACAAUAUUUUUCCCAUGAGAAUUUGUUGACAUAAAAUACCGGCUCGAGAUUUAUGAAGGUUCAGUACACAGAAUACUCUGAGGCAUCAGCGACUACCUCAUAAAUGGAACUAAUUACAGUGAUCAACGACGCCGUCCGGAUGCAUAUAUAAUUUAACAUUCAUUACACACAGACAUUUAUAUAAGUAUAUUUAUAUAUUUAUAUGUUAUAGACCUACAGACUAUUGCAUUUAUGCUGUAUGUACAUGUAUACUUGUACAUAUGCGUAUACGUGUCUCGAUGUAUUUAUUGUUAGCGGAAAAAGAAAAGAAAGAAUGAAAAAAAAGAAAAAAAAAAGUAAAUCCCCGGGAUGUGCCUUUGUGCAUCCCCGACAAUUGUUAAACUCUUCUCCAGUACGGAGAAUUAUAUCGUUUUCUCGUUAAUUAGGAUGCUAAUUACCAGCAAUUAAUCACUGCUACCCGUUUAUUUCGGUCGAUCUUGAGGGAGGUCAAGCGAAUCAAUGAAAGGUAUUAGAAGGUCUUAAAUGGAUACGAGAGAUAUUUUGCGAUGGGGGAUGGUAGCGGAUGAGGCUGCCGUGAAAAGCCAAUAGCGGUUUCAGCAGUAGCUUUCGGCAAUGCCAUAGAAAACGGAUAGACGGUGGUUUUGGUAGUUGCGGCGUCUUCGGGAGAGCAGACAAAUGACCUGGAAUAAAUUACGAGCAUGGAGACGAGAUGAUGAAGAGUCGAUGAGAGGCUAAAUUAGAGGCAUGGACGUCUGAAAAAUUCAGAUAAAAGAUGGAAGAAAGGCACAGAGGAGGUAAAACGAGCUGGGUAGCUACAGACACUAAGAGGAAAUUCUAGCGAAUCAUAACCGACCGACAGUAAACAAUGCCCAUUGUCCAGCAUAUCAUUUUCGGCACUCAUUCCCCAUUUCCUGUACCCCCCUCUCUUGCACCACUUCCUCGGUCUGCUUUUUUCCCCAGCUUCCAAAAGGAAACUCGCGAAUUCGCUCGGCCGUUUCGCGCUCCGCGAAUGAAUGCAGUUCUCGGUUUUACUUUUUUCACCUCCAGUCUUCUUUGUAUAUAUGUAUAUAUCUAUUUUUUUUUAUCUACGUCGUAUCCUCUAUCUUCAGCGAUUUUAGAGUCGUUGCAGUAUCCUGGCCAGCGCGUUACACAAUACCCUAUUGUCUUUCUUUUUUUGUCAUCCUGCUGGUACUUUUUAGUCGGCUGUAUCGUCGCCAUUAUUUAUUUUUCCUUAUUUCUAAUU